rnacentral:rRNA from 1 species
UAGGGAAUCUUCGGCAAUGGGGGCAACCCUGACCGAGCAACGCCGCGUGAGUGAAGAAGGUUUUCGGAUCGUAAAGCUCUGUUGUAAGAGAAGAACGUGUGUGAGAGUGGAAAGUUCACACAGUGACGGUAACUUACCAGAAAGGGACGGCUAACUACGUGCCAGCAGCCGCGGUAAUACGUAGGUCCCGAGCGUUUGCCGGAUUUAUUGGGCGUAAAGCGAGCGCAGGCGGUUUAAUAAGUCUGAAGUUAAAGGCAGUGGCUUAACCAUUGUUCGCUUUGGAAACUGUUAAACUUGAGUGCAGAAGGGGAGAGUGGAAUUCCAUGUGUAGCGGUGAAAUGCGUAGAUAUAUGGAGGAACACCGGUGGCGAAAGCGGCUCUCUGGUCUGUAACUGACGCUGAGGCUCGAAAGCGUGGGGAGCAAACAGG